rnacentral:rRNA from 1 species
CCUACGGGUGGCAGCAGUGAGGAAUAUUGGUCAAUGGACGAGAGUCUGAACCAGCCAAGUCGCGUGAAGGAUGACUGCCCUAUGGGUUGUAAACUUCUUUUAUAUGGGAAUAAAAUGCUCUACGUGUGGGAUUUUGUAUGUACCAUAUGAAUAAGGCUCGGCUAACUCCGUGCCAGCAGCCGCGGUAAUACGGAGGAUCCGAGCGUUAUCCGGAUUUAUUGGGUUUAAAGGGAGCGUAGGUGGAUUGUUAAGUCAGUUGUGAAAGUUUGCGGCUCAACCGUAAAAUUGCAGUUGAAACUGGCAGUCUUGAGUACAGUAGAGGUGGGCGGAAUUCGUGGUGUAGCGGUGAAAUGCUUAGAUAUCACGAAGAACUCCGAUUGCGAAGGCAGUUCACUGGACUGCAACUGACACUGAGGCUCGAAAGUGUGGGUAUCAAACAGGAUUAGAUACCCUAGUAGUC